rnacentral:rRNA from 1 species
GAUGAACGCUGGCGGCGUGCUUAACACAUGCAAGUCGAACGAAGCACCUUGAUUCGAUUCUUCGGAUGAAGAUCUUGGUGACUGAGUGGCGGACGGGUGAGUAACGCGUGGGUAACCUGCCUCAUACAGGGGGAUAACAGUUAGAAAUGACUGCUAAUACCGCAUAAGACCACAGCACCGCAUGGUGCAGGGGUAAAAACUCCGGUGGUAUGAGAUGGACCCGCGUCUGAUUAGGUAGUUGGUGGGGUAACGGCCUACCAAGCCGACGAUCAGUAGCCGACCUGAGAGGGUGACCGGCCACAGUGGGACUGAGACACGGCCCAAACUCCUACGGGAGGCAGCAGUGGGGAAUAUUGCAAAAUGGGGGAAACCCUGAUGCAGCGACGCCGCGUGAGCGAUGAAGUAUUUCGGUAUGUAAAGCUCUAUCAGCAGGGAAGAAAAUGACGGUACCUGAAUAAGAAGCACCGGCUAAAUACGUG